AUGGCGGGCGCCCCUCCCCCAGCCUCGUUGCCGCCUUGCAGUUUGAUCUCAGACUGCUGUGUUAGCAAUCAGCGAGACUCCGUGGGCAUAGGAACCUCCGAGCCAGGUGCGGGAUGUAAUCUCGUGGUGCACCGUUUUUUAAGCCAGUCCGAAAAGCGCAAUAUUCGGGUGGGAGUGACCCAAUUUUCCAGGUGCGUCCGUCACCCCUUUCUUUGACUCGGAAAGGGAACUCCCUGACCCCUUGCGCUUCCCAAGUGAGGCAAUGCCUCUCCCUGCUUCGGCUCGCACACGGUGCGCGCACCCACUGACCUGUGCCCACUGUCUGGCACUCCCUAGUGAGAUGAACCCGGUACCUCAGAUGGAAAUGCAGAAAUCACCUGUCUUCUGCGUCACUCAAGCUGGGAGCUGUAGACCGGAGCUGUUCCUAUGCGGCCAUCUUGGCUCCUCCCCAGAAUAUGGCCUUUUUAAGAAUGCAGUGGAGGUGAUACUAUGGUCAUAAUGACCAGGGGCUGGGUCAGAAGAACUUCAGAUUGAGCCUCUUGAAACAUUUGCUCUUGGAAUUCUCCCUCUCAGGAAACUAACAGCCUGCUAUGAAGCCCAAGCCACAAAGAGAGGCCAAGGGGAAAUAAACAGAGUGUGAUUAUAUGCAAAACCUACAAGAAUGAGGACCUCCAAACUCAGUGUACAGAGUGAUUUUCUGCUGAAACAAUUGGAAAAUAAAAGAGACAUCAGUGUGUGAAUGACGACUUUCUGUUGCUGACUUGGAAGACAGAGGAAUUGGGUCAUGAGCCGAGGAAGGUGGGCAGCUUCUAAAAGGCGGAAAAGGCAGGGGAUGGCUCUGGCAGAGAAUCACUCCUGAGUACAACUUUCUGGCGGAAGCUCUAUAGAGAUGGGAUUUCACCAUGUUAACCAGGAUGGUCUCGAUCUCCUGACCUCAUGACUUGCCCACCUCAGCCUACCAAAGCGCUGGAAUUACAGGUGUGAGCCACUGCACCCAGCCACGAUCUUAAAAAGGCUUCUUUGCAAUUAAAUGUAGCCACAUGACCUAUCCUGGUCUGUGAAACAUAAGUGAAAAUCUGUUUUUGGUGACGUUUCUGGAGAAAACCUUUUCAUCCUCAUUUACCUGAAGGAGAGAUAUAAGAAGAAAAUUGUUGACACCAUCUCUUUCUUCCUCACUUAAAAUGUGCACGUGAUUCCAGGAGCUGUGUCAGCCACCUUGUGACCAAACAGUGAAAACGAAGAUUAAAAGGCAGCACAUUAAAACAAGUGCAGCAGGCUGGGCAUGGUGGCUCACGCCUAUAAUCUUGGCACUUUGGGAGGCUGAGGCAGGUGGAACGUGAGGUCAGGAGUUCAAGACUAGCCUGGCCAAUAUGGUGAAACCUCAUCUAUACUAAAAAUAUAAAAAAUUAGCUGGGCGUGAUGGUGCACACCUGUAGUCCCAGAUACUCGGGAGACUGAGGCAGGAGAAUUGCUUGAACCCAGGAGGUGGAGGUUGCAGUGAGCCAAGAUCACACCACUGCACUCCAGCCUGGGUGGCACAGCAAGACUCCAUCUCAAAAACAAGGAGAAAAAAAAAACAGUAUGGUGGUUACCAGGGGCUAGAAGGUGUCAGUCAAAUAAUACAAAAUUUCAGUUAGAUAUAAAGAAUAACUCCAAGACAUCCAUUGUACAACAUGGUGACUACAGUCAAUAACAAUGUAUUGUAUCCUUAAAAAUUGUUAAGAAAGCAGAUCUUCAGGAUUCUCACCAAGAAAAAAUAGGUAUGUGAGGAAAUGCAUAGCAAAUUAUCUUUUAUUUGCCAUUCCACAAUGUAUACACACUUCAAAACAUGUUCUACAUAGUAAAUUUAUAAAAUUACUUUGUCAAUUAACGAAAUGUUUAAAAAGAUGAAUAAACAUUGUCCCUAUGUCAGAAUUCCAGUAGACUCUCUCCUAUUACUAAGUUAAGUACUUCAGGCAAGUGUUCUAAUUAUCUUGAGC
rnacentral:lncRNA from 1 species